CCCCCCCGUCGCCAAAAAAUUUUCGGUCAGUGUACCAUUUUAGGGGUAAAAAUUUUUUUCCGGAGUACAAAAUUUUUCCGGACGAGUACGUUGCAAUUGCUUUCGAGGGACUUUAUCUCAUUUUUUUAUGCCAAAAUUCGGUACUUAGCCCAAGAAAACAAAUAUCUUGUCCUUUGCGCGGAAAUAUUUAACACACAAAAAAGGCUGGGGCCCAACAAAAAUUUUUCAGGGGCUCCCAGCAACUCGGGGCCCGGGGCAAUUUGCCCCCUUUGCCCCCCCCCCCUCUGGGCGGCCCUGAUCC